rnacentral:ncRNA from 2 species
GCCGUCUCAACGGGGUGCAAAAUUUUUGCUGAGAGUAAACCCGUCGAACCUGAUCCGGUUAAUACCGGCGAAGGGAUUUGAGAGAGUCAUAUAU